rnacentral:rRNA from 1 species
GACGUAGGGUGCAAGCGUUGUCCGGAUUUAUUGGGCGUAAAGAGCUCGUAGGCGGCUUGUUGCGUCGACUGUGAAAACCCGGCGGCUUAACCGCGGGCCUGCAGUUUGAUACGGGCAGGCUAGAGUUCGGUAGGGGAGACUGGAAUUCCUGGUGUAGCGGUGAAAUGCGCAGAUAUCAGGAGGAACACCGGUGGCGAAGGCGGGUCUCUGGGCCGAUACUGACGCUGAGGAGCGAAAGCGUGGGGAGCGAACAGG